ensembl:lncRNA
ACAAGCACUUCCUGGGCCCUGUACCACGAAGCUCGCUUAGAGGGUUAGCGAGGUAUGUUGAGCUCCAAGCCUGGGUUAGUUGUACCACGAAAGUCGAUCUCUUUUAGCGUCGCUGUAUCACCAUGGUGACUUAUGCUCGCAACCAAACCUGGUCGGGAGCAGUUUUUCGGCUUAGUCUAGCCGGAGAUCGGCUACUUAAAUCGGCGUGCGCAGCUUCCUAGCCCCUCCUCUGACAAUGGCGUCACCAUUUGUGGGUGUUCCCGUGGACCCCGGCGCACUUCUCCUGAGACAAGGGUUUUACGGGACAGAACCGAUCCCUUGGCAUUGUCUGACGAUAUUCAGAUUUCAGACUUUAUUGUCAUUGUGCAAACAACGAAAUUGGGGUUCUUCAUGAGAGAUACAGAUUCUCAUCAGAGGGUGUUCGUUAUUUGAUCGUCCUUUUGGACCUUAUGUAGACAAUGAUUACUGUUGCGCAUUGUGUCUCAGUGACAGAGUGCUAGAGUGGAGGUAGCGCGUCAGUCUUGAAUUUCUGCGCGGGGGGUUCGACUCUCAAGUGGCGCGAAUUUAUGUGAAGCUUAAAAAGUCCUAAUUCUCAUGUAUAUGGAAUACUUAUUCACUAAAGCUUAUGGAAUUAUAUUUUUGUGCUGAUUUCGAACUUGAACCCAUAUUUUCAAGGCCGUGCUGGCACCACAUCUAUGGGGGUAAAAUGCAUGAUGAUAGACCGGCGAAUUUGAACCCCGGUCGCUGGCGUUCGGGUCUUGUACUGAUCCACUACGCUACAGCCGCUACCUCUCAGCGGUCGAAAACAUGCGAUACAUUUCUUAAAUAGGGUGUAUUUAAAGUGAAUUCCCUAAAUGAUAGAAUAAGGCAGGAUGGAGGUUGCUUAUGCAUUUUUAAAUCAUCAUCAUUCUAUUUGGAUUAAUGGCGAACAAUUCUGCAUUUGGCAUAGUUAUUUUACAGACAAUAUGCAGAAUCUUUUCACUUAUACUCAUAUAGACUGCUUGAUCUAUCGUAAAGGUGAGAAAAAUGACGCAAAAAACGCCCCUUUCACGUGAACGCGCACUGAACCUAAAGCGGAAAACCUGGUUCAACUAAUUGAAUCUAAAGUGAGCUUUGUGGUACCAUUUAACUCUGAUUGCGAGUUGCGGCUCUGUCGAGCCAGGUUUUCCCAAGAAAGCCUGGGUAUGUUCAGCGAGCUUCGUGGUAUAGGGCA